GAGCAUAGCUCCCCUGCUGCGAUUAUUCUUGCAGCGCCUGUACCUGAAAGUGGCGGUUUGCCAGUGUCUUCCUCAUUUCUUCAUCGAAAAAAGCUUCGUUUACUGUUUUGUAGUCAUACUGGAUAGAUGAAUAUAUAUAUCCUCAUGGCAGGAGAUAAUUGGCAGCAAUGCUUUCUUCAUUGAUGGCUGCACCGAACAAAGAAAUGGCACAGUGUGAUCCUUUUGCAACGUUAAAAAAAAAAAGUUGUAGGCUACUUAAAACCCGGUCUAUUCGCAAAAUUACAUUUCCAUUUUUCACAAUGGAAAUGUAAUUUAAGAGUAGGGAUCUCCGGGGGCUAAAUGGCUUAAAAAGGAUCGCAUAAUGAACGCAGCGAAUCUGCUAUUCUGUGCUAUUUUAGAAAACGAGGAGCAGAAACCACCACUUUUAUAGGGAAAUAAAAAGCAAGAUUUUUUUUUUUUUGAAGUUUAGAGUCAGUGCGGGUUUGUACUUUUAAAUUUAGAGUCAGUGUGUUCCAGAAUAUUCAAAAAAAUCAACCAAUGGUAAUUUUUAAUUAAGCAAAUACAAAGUACUGGUCACUGGAAUAUGAAUCCUGGAGAGAGUGAGAGAGAUCCUUGGAAUCAAUUAUCAUUUUGUCCUACGCAUGUUCUUGCUAUAAUAGUAGGAAGCAACAAAGGUCAAAGGAAUCAAAAG